rnacentral:rRNA from 1 species
UGGGCUUGACAUGUCCGGAGUCCUGCAUAGAUGCGGGAGUGCCCUUCGGGGAAUCGGAACA